GUGGAAGAAUGAUCAAGGAAGAAUGGGCAAGGGAUUAUUUUGUAGACAAAUGAAUAACAGGAACUCCUGAAAUCCCACUAUUCACAGGGGUGAGAGAAGCCCUGCCAGAAGCAAUGGUGUCUCCCCAGAUGGGUGUGAAGCUUUGGCUGUAGCUGCAUCCCAGAAGGUUUUUCCAACCUACAGGGCAAAAGAAAAGAUAGUGGGAAAUGCAACAGCAGAAAGAUUCUCAGGAGUCAAGAGGAUGUCCAAGCCACAAAUACAUUCCAGUAGAUCACUAAUGAGUGAACAUGUCUCAUGUCUUACCGCCUGCUAUAAUCACUCAUUUGAUUUAAACAACAUUUGGUUCCAAUGUGUGUUUCAUUUCCAGAGGGCGGGCAAAAAUCUAGCUGAAAACCAUAUUUAGUGUUGUCUUUGCUGUUUUGAUUAAUUUCUAGGCAGGAUGACUGUGGUUUGGGUUGCUUUGAGCCCUGGCAUGAACAGUUUCCACAGUUUGGCUCACAGUUUACUAUGACCAAGCCUUGUGGCAGCUAGAUUCUUUGUUCAAACCUGGUUGAAACUCAAAAUUUGAUCUCCACAGGAAAUGCUGACAUUUGGGGAGGGGGAAAAAAGGACAAGCUCCAAUUAAAAUGGAAAACUAAUCGUUUUCUGAACUCAGUAGAGGAGAUUCCAGGGGGUAAAAAUUACUUCAGAAAGAAUGAACUGUUGGAGAUUUAUUCUGAGCAACAACCUGGGUGGCCCCUGGAAAAUGGGGACCAUGAGAUCAUCUAAUUUCAGAAAAUCAAAGAUAGUCUGAAACAUCCAAAGCAUUGAGAAGAAAGCCCAGAAUCCCUUGACACAAUCAGGGCCUUCUAGCAUUUGUAAUUGCAUGGCAAGAAGACUAGGGAAGUCAAAAGUGAAACUAUAAUAUCUUCUAAGAUUCUAAUUUAGUAGUGGCAGUGCUGCCCAAAGUUUCCUGACUUAUAGCACAAGAUGGACCUGAAGCUGCAGAUUCUGUAUGUUUAGAUUGCUAAAUGUUCUUCUAGACACAUACAGGAAUGCAACCCUUUUCAGUCACCAUGGAAGUUGAGCGUGUUAAGAUAUUUGGUUGCAAAGAAAAUAUUUGUGAAGACCUUAUUUUCAGCCCUGAAAUAUCAGCCAAAACAGGCUCACUCCAUUGUUGAUGUAAAUUGGCUGCUUUCAAACAUAUUAAACACCCUAUUCAGUAGGAUUUGCAUUACUCUGCAUGACAUGUCAUUUGAAACUUUUUUGUAUUGUAGGAAUCAGUCCAGGGAACACAUGACAUAAAUGUACAAUUCUUGCCCAUGGCUUUAGAAAGAAUGAAAUUUUUAAAAACAAAGUUUAUCUAGAAAUUUAGUUUCUCCAUUCCAACAGAAGAAAACCACCACUCUUUUCUCCCUCCCAGAAGCACACCCCACACCUCAAUUUUUCAAACUUUAAUUGAAAAUUGCCAUUAAAUUCUACUUGGGUUGCUGACAUCAUUUCCAGAGAAGUGACCAAGAAAAAUAGGGGAGUUAAGUCAAGGAAAAACUCUUAUCCUAAAGCCGUGCAACAACUGAGUUGACUAAGUCUAAAACUGAAUUUGUUUACAUGCUAGGCUGUGAACAAUAGAUGAAAUGUAUAAAAGUUAGAAAAAAAUAAAUUCUAAUCCCAAGGUAGCA
rnacentral:lncRNA from 1 species